UACGAAGGGGGCUAGCGUUGUUCGGAAUUACUGGGCGUAAAGCGCACGUAGGCGGCUUACUAAGUCAGGGGUGAAAUCCUGGAGCUCAACUCCAGAACUGCCUUUGAUACUGGAGAGCUUGAGUCCGGGAGAGGUGAGUGGAAUUCCUGGUGUAGCGGUGAAAUGCGCAGAUAUCAGGAAGAACACCCGUGGCUAAGGCGGCUCUCUAGUACGGUACUGACGCUGAGACGCGAAAGCGUGGGGAGCGAACAGG
rnacentral:rRNA from 1 species